rnacentral:lncRNA from 1 species
AGAAGAGUUUCUUUCUAACUUGGAAGAAACAGAACACUAAGGGCCACAGUAUUCGAAUGAAGCAUCUACCUUUAUUGCAAAAAUGCACACUGAAACUACUGCCCUUGGCCUUCCAAGGAAUGCUCAAUUAUGGGGGAUUAUAGAUUGGAAGGAGGAGGAAGGGAGUCUCAAGUCAUUCCAUAGGGUCCGAAGUGUUCUCAAGGGACAGAGGUGGAAUUGGGGAGGUGGGAAGGCAGUUCUUCUAUCCUCUGAGAACAUCUCCCUUCCAGAUGUCCUCACCCAAGGACCUGUUACCUGAAGACAACUCCCCUCCAACAAAAGCCAGCUGUGUAGUAUUUAUUUCUCUACAGUGGUCCAAUCCCACUUCUGGCCUACCACAUGCAAUUUACUUGAUCUUUUGCAGAGGAUCAUAGCCCCUUUGAAUUGGCCAUAUGAGAAUUUCCUAGAUUGCUCAUGAGAAAUGCUGUCUUUGAUUCUUUUCUUAGGGAUGCUACAUCUGUUGCAGUGGGGGAAAAGAUACUUUUUCUGGUUGUAAACUAGUCCAGAGUGCUUCUGGCAAACAUACUCAAUUCCCCCUCCCUUUGCGUAUCCAAGAGAAAGGGUUCCAAUGUAUUUAUGACGCAUGUUCCUUGGGAAAGUCCAGUUCUCAAUUAUUCUAAGCUAGUGAGAAGGGAGGUUGGUUCCUGGGAUGCACUGCUUGUUCCUGUAAAAGAGGUACCAUCUGUGCUACCAUGCUGCACACAACGACCUCGCAACCUUGACUUGUCAGGCUUCCCCUGUGUUCUCAUGCAGCUUGUCAGAUGGCAGCAGAGAUAUUCCACUCAAAUUUUUCCACAAUCUUGACAAAUGAAUGAAAUAUGGAAGGACAACAGAUCUUUUUCAUCAGGCAACAUGGCUCUCCAGAUAAGUUCAUUGAUUUCCUUUGUCAAAUUCUUAAUCACAAAGUUUACUUGAAUAGCUUGUAUCUCUACUUCAUUUCAUUUGCCACGGAAACUGUCUUUUAUUUUACAUCACAGACAUUUCAGAAAAUAUUGCCCACUUUAUUCCCUCCUCAAGAUUAAACACUCUCUCAUAACAAAGAAAACAGGUAAGCAAAAGCUUCCAAGUGUAGAUACUAGAUCCGUUUACAACAGCCUACUACAGUAGUUCCCCCAAGGGGCAACUAGGUGGCAAAGUGAAUAGCAUGCCAGGCCACUUGCUAGCUGUGGGACCUGGAGUAAAUCACUCACCCAUAUUUGCCUCAGUUUCCUCAUCUGUAAAAUGAUCUGGAGAAGGAAAUAGCAAACCACUCCAGUAUCUUUGCCCAGGAAAACCCUAAGUAGGGUCAUGAAGAGUCUUCUCUGCUGUGAGAAAGGAGAUAUAUUUCAUUAUCUAUUCUCCAGAUAUUUAUUGGUUUUUCAUUUACUCAGCUCAUAAAAGACAUUAUCAUGAAUAUGACCAGAAAAUCAGGGGACCAGUCACAUAAUGAAAAUUAGAGUCCAGACCUCCAGGAAGGGAUACACGAUGGCACAAUCGAAUGUAAUGGACUUCUCUACUAGCAGCAAUGCAAUGAUCCUGGACAAUUCUGAGUGACUUAUGAGAAAGAAUGCUAUCCACAUCCAGAGAAAGAACUGUGGGAGUAGAAACACAGAAGAAAAAUAACUGCUUGGUCACAUAGUUCAAUGGGGAUAUGACUGGAGAUGUAGACUCUAAAUGAUCACCUUAGUGCAAAUAUUAAUAAUAUGGAAAUAGGUCUUGAUCAAGGACACAUGUAAAACCCAGUGGAAUUGCUCAUUGUCUACGGAAGGG